rnacentral:rRNA from 1 species
ACGAACGCUGGCGGCGUGGAUAAGACAUGCAAGUCGAACGGGAGAAUUGCUAGCUUGCUAAUAAUUCUCUAGUGGCGCACGGGUGAGUAACACGUGAGUAACCUGCCUCUUAGUGGGGGAUAGCCCUGGGAAACCGGGAUUAAUACCGCAUACGAUUGAAAGAUCAAAGCAGCAAUGCGCUAGGAGAUUGGCUCGCGGCCUAUUAGUUAGUUGGUGAGGUAACGGCUCACCAAGGCGAUGACGGGUAGCCGGUCUGAGAGGAUGUCCGGCCACACUGGAACUGAGACACGGUCCAGACACCUACGGGUGGCAGCAGUCGAGAAUCAUUCACAAUGGGGGCAACCCUGAUGGUGCGACGCCGCGUGGGGGAAUGAAGGUCUUCGGAUUGUAAACCCCUGUCAUGUGGGAGCAAAUUAAAAAGAUAGUACCACAAGAGGAAGAGACGGCUAACUCUGUGCCAGCAGCCGCGGUAAUACAGAGGUCUCAAGCGUUGUUCGGAAUCACUGGGCGUAAAGCGUGCGUAGGCUGUUUCGUAAGUCGUGUGUGAAAGGCAGGGGCUCAACCCCUGGAUUGCACAUGAUACUGCGAGACUAGAGUAAUGGAGGGGGAACCGGAAUUCUCGGUGUAGCAGUGAAAUGCGUAGAUAUCGAGAGGAACACUCGUGGCGAAGGCGGGUUCCUGGACAUUAACUGACGCUGAGGCACGAAGGCCAGGGGAGCGAAAGGGAUUAGAUACCCCUGUAGUCCUGGCAGUAAACGGUGCACGCUUGGUGUGCGGGGAAUCGACCCCCUGCGUGCCGGAGCUAACGCGUUAAGCGUGCCGCCUGGGGAGUACGGUCGCAAGAUUAAAACUCAAAGAAAUUGACGGGGACCCGCACAAGCGGUGGAGUAUGUGGCUUAAUUCGAUGCAACGCGAAGAACCUUACCUGGGCUUGACAUGUAAUGAACAACAUGUGAAAGCAUGCGACUCUUCGGAGGCGUUACACAGGUGCUGCAUGGCCGUCGUCAGCUCGUGUCGUGAGAUGUUUGGUUAAGUCCAGCAACGAGCGCAACCCCUGUUGCCAGUUACCAGCACGUCAAGGUGGGGACUCUGGCGAGACUGCCCAGAUCAACUGGGAGGAAGGUGGGGACGACGUCAGGUCAGUAUGGCCCUUAUGCCCAGGGCUGCACACGUACUACAAUGCCCAGUACAGAGGGGGCCGAAGCCGCGAGGCGGAGGAAAUCCUGAAAACUGGGCCCAGUUCGGACUGUAGGCUGCAACCCGCCUACACGAAGCCGGAAUCGCUAGUAAUGGCGCAUCAGCUACGGCGCCGUGAAUACGUUCCCGGGUCUUGUACACACCGCCCGUCACAUCAUGGAAGCCGGUCGCACCCGAAGUAUCUGAAGCCAACCGCAAGGAGGCAGGGUCCUAAGGUGAGACUGGUAACUGGGAUG